CGUCUCUGGAGAGCGGUCGGCUGCUGCCGACCCACCGAAGGGGCUCAAGCUCUCAGGUCACAGGACAGAGGGGG
rfam:Candidatus Muproteobacteria bacterium RBG_16_65_31 RBG_16_scaffold_88424, whole genome shotgun sequence.